rnacentral:lncRNA from 1 species
GUUUCACUAUAUUCCGUACACCAACAUGCAUUUUGUUGUUGAUGGACUGAAGCCAUAUUUUUUUUUCCUUCACUUUAAGUGAGAGUAUAUAUAUUACUGUAAUCCCUUGACUUCCAACCCAGAAAUGAGAAGUGCAAAGUGUCCUGGCGAAGCAUAAAAUCUUUAUUGAUUUCCCCAUGUAAGAUACCAGACCUUGAAAAAGAUGAGUUCUUUUCUUGAGGAGCUGCUGUCAAUGAAUAUGAAACAAAACAAAAACAGGUAACAUAGAACUGGCUGUCAAUAUCUUACUCUUGUUUUGUCCCACAAAGCGGAAAGA